rnacentral:rRNA from 1 species
GACGAACGCUGGCGGCGUGCCUAAUACAUGCAAGUCGAACGCAUUUUCUUUCACCGUAGCUUGCUACACCGAAAGAAAAUGAGUGGCGAACGGGUGAGUAACACGUUGGUAACCUGCCCAUCAGCGGGGGAUAACACUUGGAAACAGGUGCUAAUACCGCAUAAUUCCAUUUACUGCAUGGUAGAUGGAUGAAAGGCGCUUUUGCGUCACUGAUGGAUGGACCCGCGGUGCAUUAGCUAGUUGGUGGGGUAACGGCCUACCAAGGCUGCGAUGCAUAGCCGACCUGAGAGGGUGAUCGGCCACACUGGGACUGAGACACGGCCCAGACUCCUACGGGAGGCAGCAGUAGGGAAUCUUCGGCAAUAGACGCAAGUCUGACCGAGCAACGCCGCGUGAGUGAAGAAGGUUUUCGGAUCGUAAAACUCUGUUGUUAGAAAAGAACAAGGAUGAGAGUGGAAAGUUCAUCCCUUGACGGUAUCUAACCAGAAAGCCACGGCUAACUACGUG